UACGUAGGGGGCUAGCGUUGUCCGGAUUUAUUGGGCGUAAAGAGCGUGUAGGCGGCCAGGUAGGUCUGCUGUGAAAACUCGAGGCUCAACCUCGAGACGUCGGCGGAAACCAUCUGGCUAGAGUCCGGAAGAGGAGAGUGGAAUUCCUGGUGUAGCGGUGAAAUGCGCAGAUAUCAGGAAGAACACCCGUGGCGAAGGCGGGUCUCUG
rnacentral:rRNA from 1 species